rnacentral:rRNA from 1 species
UACAGAGGGUGCUAGCGUUGUUCGGAAUCAUUGGGCGUAAAGCGCGCGUAGGCGGCCCGGUAAGUCCGUUGUGAAAGUCAAAGGCUCAACCUUUGAACGCCGAUGGAUACUGCCGGGCUAGAGUCCGGAAGAGGCGAGUGGAAUUCCUGGUGUAGCGGUGGAAUGCGCAGAUAUCAGGAGGAACACCAAUAGCGAAGGCAGCUCGCUGGGACGGUACUGACGCUGAGGCGCGAAAGCGUGGGGAGCGAACGGGA